UACGUAGGCAGCAAGCGUUGUUCGGAGUUACUGGGCGUAAAGGGUGCGUAGGCGGCUUUUUAAGUUUGGUGUGAAAUCUCCCGGCUCAACUGGGAGGGUGCGCCGAAUACUGAGAGGCUAGAGUGUGGGAGAGGAAAGUGGAAUUCCUGGUGUAGCGGUGAAAUGCGUAGAUAUCGUCUGGAACGCCGAAGGUGAAAACAGCUCGCUGGGGCUGCGCUGACGCUGAGACACGAAAGCCAGGGGAGCGAACGGG
rnacentral:rRNA from 1 species